UGGGGAAUAUUGCACAAUGGGCGCAAGCCUGAUGCAGCCAUGCCGCGUGUAUGAAGAAGGCCUUCGGGUUGUAAAGUACUUUCAGCGGGGAGGAAGGGAGUAAAGUUAAUACCUUUGCUCAUUGACGUUACCCGCAGAAGAAGCACCGUCUAACUCCAUGCCAGCAGCCGCGGUAAUACGGAGGGUGCAAGCGUUAAUCGGAAUUACUGGGCGUAAAGCGCACGCAGGCGGUUUGUUAAGUCAGAUGUGAAAUCCCCGGGCUCAACCUGGGAACUGCAUCUGAUACUGGCAAGCUUGAGUCUCGUAGAGGGGGGUAGAAUUCCAGGUGUAGCGGUGAAAUGCGUAGAGAUCUGGAGGAAUACCGGUGGCGAAGGCGGCCCCCUGGACGAAGACUGACGCUCAGGUGCGAAAGCGUGGGGAGCAAACAGG
rnacentral:rRNA from 1 species